rnacentral:lncRNA from 1 species
GAAAGGGAGCUUACAUCAAUAGAUAUAAACAAUUCACCAAAAUUUCAUGGACAUUGGUGAAAGCCUUUUUGAGUUAUUGUCCGAAGUGUUGAAAAUCCCCCUUUUUUUAUGAAUAAAGCCCCAUAAAUCCAAAACUUAAAAUCUGAAAUUUAUAAAAAUUGAAAGGGAGCUUACAUCAAUAGAUAUAAACAAUUCACCAAAGUUUCAUGGACAUUGGUGAAAGCCUUUUUGAGUUGUUGUCCGAAGUGUUGAAAAUCCCCCCUUUUUUAUGAAUAAAGCCCCAUAAAUCCAAAACUUAAAAUCUGAAAUUAAAAAAACGAAAGGGAGCUUACGUCAAUAGAUAUAAAC